UACAGAGACCUCAAGCGUUAUCCGGAAUCAUUGGGCGUAAAGCGUACCGAUCGGUGGUUUUGCAAGUCAGAGGUGAAAUCCCAAGGCUCAACUUUGGGACUGUCCUUUGAAACUGCACAACUAGAGGGGCAAAGAGGAAGCUGGAACGAACGGUGUAGUAGUGAAAUGCGUUGAUAUCGUUCGGAACACCAAUAGCGAAGGCAGGCUUCUGGGUGCCACCUGACACUGCUAGGACGAAAGCGUGGGGAGCGAAUGGG
rnacentral:rRNA from 1 species